rnacentral:rRNA from 1 species
AACGAACGCUGGCGGCAGGCUUAACACAUGCAAGUCGAGCGGGCCCGCAAGGGUCAGCGGCGGACGGGUUAGUAACGCGUGGGAACGUGCCUUUUGCUUCGGAAUAGCCCUGGGAAACUGGGGGUAAUACCGGAUGUGCCCUGAGGGGGAAAGAUUUAUCGGCAAGAGAUCGGCCCGCGUUGGAUUAGGUAGUUGGUGGGGUAACGGCCCACCAAGCCGACGAUCCAUAGCUGGUUUGAGAGGAUGAUCAGCAACACUGGGACUGAGACACGGCCCAGACUCCUACGGGAGGCAGCAGUGGGGAAUCUUAGACAAUGGGCGCAAGCCUGAUCUAGCCAUGCCGCGUGGGUGAUGAGGGCCUUAGGGUCGUAAAGCCCUUUCGCCGGGGAAGAUAAUGACGGUACCCGGUAAAGAAACCCCGGCUAACUCCGUGCCAGCAGCCGCGGUAA